UUUAAAUGAAAAAUUAAAAAA
rnacentral:piRNA from 1 species